rnacentral:rRNA from 1 species
GACGAACGCUGGCGGCGUGCUUAACACAUGCAAGUCGAACGGAAAGGCCCUGCUUUUGUGGGGUGCUCGAGUGGCGAACGGGUGAGUAACACGUGAGUAACCUGCCCUUGACUUUGGGAUACCUUAAGGAAACUGGGGCUAAUACCGGAUAGGAGCUCCUGCUGCAUGUUGGGGGUUGGAAAGUUUCGGCGGUUGGGGAUGGACUCGCGGCUUAUCAGCUUGUUGGUGGGGUAGUGGCUUACCAAGGCUUUGACGGGUAGCCGGCCUGAGAGGGUGACCGGCCACAUUGGGACUGAGAUACGGCCCAGACUCCUACGGGAGGCAGCAGUGGGGAAUAUUGCACAAUGGGCGGAAGCCUGAUGCAGCAACGCCGCGUGCGGGAUGACGGCCUUCGGGUUGUAAACCGCUUUCGCCUGUGACGAAGCGUGAGUGACGGUAAUGGGUAAAGAAGCACCGGCUAACUACGUG